rnacentral:lncRNA from 1 species
GCCAAUAGUAUACACUGGGGGACGGGGACGGGGACGGAGACGCGAAACGGAAUUUAAUACUUCAAUAAAGUAUAAUUCUGCAACUUAUUUUUAGGAUAUUCUUUUUUUUUGUAUAAAAAUAUAACACAUUCAUAUUUUUAUACAAGAAAAGAAAAUUUUAUAAAUAAAUUAUAGAAUUAUAUUUCAUAAGAGUCUUGAAAGGUGUGCCGAACGAUGAAAGAUAAACGUAUACAAUUGAAUAGGACGGAGAGAGUAUGAUAUUUGAUUGAAAAGAAAAUAUGGUUAUUUCAUUUAAUAUAAUACGAGGGGAC